rnacentral:rRNA from 1 species
AUCAGUAAGGGCUCUUAGCGGAGAGGCCCUGAGAAGGAAUCUGAGACACUAUUCCUAGCUCUACGGGGUGCAGCAGUCGAGGAAAUUUUACAAUGCUCGAAAGAGUGAUAAAAUAAGCCAGAGUGUUUCUCCUAGAGAAACUUUUGUUAGUUGUAAAAAGACUAGCGAAUAAGGACUGGGCAAGACCGGUGCCAGCCGCCGCGGUAAUCCCGGCGGUCCAAGUCGUAUCCACAUUUAUUGGGUCUAAAACAUUCGUAGCUUGUUUUGUAAGUCUCUUGUGAAAUCUGACAUCUCAAGUGUCAGGCGUGCAAGAGAUACUGCAUUGCUAGAGACCGGAAGAUGCAAAGAGUAUGAUUAAGGUAGCGGUAAAAUGUGUUAAUCUUAAUCAGACUAACAAUGGCGAAGGCACUUUGCAAGUACGGAUCUGACAGUGAGGGAUGAAGGCUAGGGGCGCAAAACGGAUUAGAUACCCGUGUAGUCCUAGCAGUAAACACUGCUCACUAAACAUUAGUGCCUCCUCGAGAGGCAUUAGUGCUGUAGAGAAGUCGAAGAGUGAGCUACCUGGGAAGUAUAGUCGCAAGGCCGAAACU